rnacentral:misc_RNA from 1 species
UUAAGUUCAGCGGGUAUCCCUACCUGAUUCGAGGUCAACCUAGAAAUAUCUUGUGGACGCUGGCCUGCCAAACCCCAUAGAGCGCAUUGUGCUGCGCGGGAGGCUGGUAAGCUGCUGCCAAUACUUUUAAGGCGAGUUCAUGCAAUAAGCACAAACAAACACCCAACACCAAGCAUUGCUUGAGAGUGGAAAUGACGCUC